AUGAUUGACGACUGCGAGCGUGGAAUAUAGGUUUACACCUUGGGGAGGAAUAUGCACCUGUUAUACUUUGGAAGUUUUACUAAAACUGUGCCACAAUGGCAAAGGAACCUCUGCACUCCAGUUGAUGGACGGCUACAACAGCUCCUAUGAGCUAUGCAACAACCUUGUACUCAACACUCUACAUGUUCCAGUAAGGAAAGGAGAAUGAGGAUUUUUACAAAAAAUUCUGUAUAUUCAGAAGUAUAUUAAUCCACCUAGAAGAGUACAUGUAGCAAAAGAAGUGCAUUGUAGCAGACAGUUUGCGGGCAUAAAGGAGAACUUGAUGAAUGAAAUAUCUGAUAUUUUGGGAAUGUGUUUGUGUUGCUGCAAAUUUGCCGCAAUACCACUUAUAUUUUAUAAUAAUAUUGUGGCAAGAUUAAAAUAAUUAUUAUUGA